GACGUAGGGCGCGAGCGUUUGUCCGGAUUUAUUGGGCGUAAAGAGCUCGUAGGCGGCUUGUCGCGUCGACUGUGAAAUCCCGCGGCUCAACUGCGGGUCUGCAGUCGAUACGGGCAGGCUAGAGUUCGGUAGGGGAGACUGGAAUUCCUGGUGUAGCGGUGAAAUGCGCAGAUAUCAGGAGGAACACCGAUGGCGAAGGCAGGUCUCUGGGCCGCAACUGACGCUGAGGAGCGAAAAGCAUGGGGGAGCGAACAG
rnacentral:rRNA from 1 species